rnacentral:tRNA from 4 species
GGGCGAAUAGCUCAGUUGGUUAGAGCACCUGCGUCACAUGCAGGGGGUCGUAGGUUCGAAUCCUAUUUCGCCCACCA